rnacentral:hammerhead_ribozyme from 1 species
AUCCAGCUGACAAGUCCCAAAUAGGACGAAACGCACCUCAAACUGGAU